rnacentral:rRNA from 1 species
CCUACGGGACGCAGCAGUGGGGAAUAUUGCACAAUGGGGGAAACCCUGAUGCAGCGACGCCGCGUGAGUGAAGAAGUCUUUCGGGAUGUAAAGCUCUAUCAGCAGGGAAGAAAAUGACGGUACCUGACUAAGAAGCCCCGGCUAACUACGUGCCAGCAGCCGCGGUAAUACGUAGGGGGCAAGCGUUAUCCGGAUUUACUGGGUGUAAAGGGAGCGUAGACGGCAGGGCAAGUCUGAAGUGAAAAUCCACCGCUUAACGUUGGAACUGCUUUGGAAACUGCCGGGCUAGAGUGCAGGAGGGGCAG